rnacentral:misc_RNA from 1 species
GAAAUGCGAUAAGUAAUGUGAAUUGCAGAAUUCAGUGAAUCAUCGAAUCUUUGAACACACCUUGCGCUCCUUGGUAUUCCUUGGAGCAUGCCUGUUUGAGUAUCAUGAAAUCUUCAAGGUAAAUCUUUUGUUAACUCAAUUGGUUUCUACUUUGGUAUUGGAGGUCUUUGCAGCUUCACACCUGCUCCUCUUUGUUCAUUAGCUGGAUCUCAGUGUUAUGCUUGGUUCCACUCGGCGUGAUAAGUUAUCUAUCGCUGAGGACACUGUAAAAGGUGGCCAAGGUAAAUGCAGAUGAACCGCUUCUAAUAGUCCAUUGACUUGGACAAUACUUUUAUGAUCUGAUCUCAAAUCAGGUAGGACUACCCGCUGAACUUAAGC